UGCAUUCGCACGAGAACGCUUCUGCUGGCAGGGGCUAGUAAAGGGGCGCGGGAAGUGGCGUGUGGGUUUCUACCCUUGGAUUCGGGAUAAAAAAAAGGAAGGAGUGCUAAUACCGGAUGAAGUCAUUUAGGCUGUGGUUUACAUGAUGAAAGGUGGCCUCUCCGAGGAAGCUACCGUUUGGGGAUGAGCCCGCGUACCAUUAGCUUGUUGGGGGGGUAACGGCCUACCAAGGCGACGAUGGUUAGCUGGUCUGAGAGGAUGAUCAGCCACACUGGAACUGACACACGGUCCAGACUCCUACGGGAGGCAGCAGUGAGGAAUUUUGCGCAAUGGGGGGAACCCUGACGCAGCAACGCCGCGUGAGUGAAGAAGGCCUUCAGGCCGUAAAGCUCCGCCGAGUGGGAAGAACCUUCGUAUGUUGAAUAUGCAUACGGACUGACGCGUACCACAGAAGGAAGCACCGGCUAACUCCGUGCCAGCCAGACUCCGGUAAUACGGAGGGUGCAAGCGUUAUUCAGAAUUAUUGGGCGUAAAGACCGCGUAUGCGGCUUUGCAAGACAGCUGUGAAAUCCCGGGGCUCCACCCCGGAAGAGCAUUUGAUACUGUGGAGCUUGACUAUGGGAUAGGGAAGUGUAAUUCCUGGUGUAGCGCUCAAAUGCGCAUAUAUCUGGAUGAACCCUCGGUUGGCCCAGGCCGCUUCCUGGACCAAUACUGACUCUCAUGCCCCGAAGGCGCGUAGAAGCAAACAGGAUUAUAUACCCUUGUUCUCCACGCAAUAAACGUUGCUCACUAUGUGUAGCGGGGUCUUGACCCCUGCUGUGCCGGAUUUCAACGCAUUAAAUUAUCCCCUGGGGGACUACGAUCGCUUAAUUAAAACUUCACAUGGUUGGUCCCUC
rnacentral:rRNA from 1 species